rnacentral:rRNA from 1 species
UACAGAGGUGCAAGCGUUGUUCGGAAUUACUGGGCGUAAAGCGCGUGUAGGCGGCUUGGCAAGUCCUGUGUGAAAGCCUGGGCUCAACCCAGGAAGUGCGCAGGAUACUGCCGAGCUGGAGUAGCGGGAGAGGAUGGCGGAAUACCGGUGUAGAGGUGAAAUUCGUAGAUAUCGGUGGAACGCCUGUGGCGAAGGCGGCCAUCUGGACGUUCACUGACGCUGAGACGCGAAAGCGUGGGUAGCAAACAGG